UAGGGAAUCUUCGGCAAUGGGGGGAACCCUGACCGAGCAACGCCGCGUGAGUGAAGAAGGUUUUCGGAUCGUAAAGCUCUGUUGUUAAGGAAGAACGAGUGUGAGAAUGGAAAGUUCAUGCUGUGACGGUACUUAACCAGAAAGGGACGGCUAACUACGUGCCAGCAGUCGCGGUAAUACGUAGGUCCCGAGCGUUGUCCGGAUUUAUUGGGCGUAAAGCGAGCGCAGGCGGUUAGAAAAGUCUGAAGUGAAAGGCAGUGGCUCAACCAUUGUAGGCUUUGGAAACUGUUUAACUUGAGUGCAGAAGGGGAGAGUGGAAUUCCAUGUGUAGCGGUGAAAUGCGUAGAUAUAUGGAGGAACACCGGUGGCGAAAGCGGCUCUCUGGUCUGUAACUGACGCUGAGGCUCGAAAGCGUGGGGAGCGAACAGG
rnacentral:rRNA from 1 species